AUGGGAAAGACACCUACUAUGCGUAAAA
rnacentral:sRNA from 1 species